AUUAUACUUCCUCUAUCCGGAAAUACUUGUCCUCCAAAUGGUUGUAUCUAGACUUAUUUUAGUUGUAGAUACAUCAAUUUUAUCCAUUUCUAGGACAAGUAUUUCCGGACGAAGGGAGUAAUGU
rfam:Triticum urartu cultivar G1812 contig737136, whole genome shotgun sequence.